rnacentral:rRNA from 1 species
UACGGAGGAUGCGAGCGUUAUCCGGAUUUAUUGGGUUUAAAGGGUGCGUAGGCGGACUGUUAAGUCAGCGGUCAAAUUGCGGGGCUCAACCCCGUACUGCCGUUGAAACUGCAUCCCUUGAGUGCGCGAAGGGUAGGCGGAAUGCGUGGUGUAGCGGUGAAAUGCAUAGAUAUCACGCAGAACUCCGAUCGCGAAGGCAGCCUACCGGCGCGCAACUGACGCUCAUGCACGAAAGCGUGGGUAUCGAACAGG